AGUAGUGAUGGAGAUGAAGUAUCCUCAGGACCAUGUUAAAGACAGGGCUGGUGGGUGAUGGGGAAGGCAUCACUGGGACCAGAUCACAGAGAGCCUGAGUCCAGCAUGAAUGUUGGAAGGUUAUGAGGAAUGGAAUGACACCAUCCUUACCAUCCUCAUCCCAGGGCUUCCACUUGGAAACUAUUUCACAUACUUUGAUAGAAGAGCUGAGUACUCUGCUGACACGCACAGCAAGAACAUGGGGCAGGUUCUCUACGGUCUCAUUGUGCAGAUGACAGAAUUCAGGUUCCAAGCAUUUAAAAACUUGCCCAGUGCCACCCAGUUGUAGGGUUGGGACUUGCACUCACUAGAACAUACGCUUCCUACUUCGUUUAGGUUACUACUGUAGCACAGGGUUGGCCCUCAGAUAUUUUGGGGGCGGUGGUGAAUGAAUAAAUCUAAUUCCAAAACUCUACAGUGCUAAUCAGACUUUUUAUUCAGAAAGAUGCCCUUGGCUCUAGCGGGAUGGAGAACAGGGGCAGCAAAGCCAGCAAGAAGCCUUGGCAGCGCCUCAAGGAGAGGUUGGACCAGCACCGCAGUAGAGGAGACGGAAGUGAUGUAGAAGAGAUGGAGUGGGCAGACUUUGUGGACCAAUCAGACGCCAGCUGGGGCUGGACACAGACCACAGGCCAGCAGGAAACCGACAGUCCUCUGCUCGCUGUGAAGCCAAGACUCAAGUUUUGCUCCAGCUUGGAGUCGGGCAUCCUGUAGCACACCCGGACCCCAGCUGGACCGCAUUGCCAAGGCCUUUCUGAUGGCGGUGAGGAGCUUGUCCGUCGGUCCAGCACCCCCACCUUCGCUUCGGCACGGGAACAAAGUGAGCCCAGGGUGCAGCCGAGAUCUGAUGAAAGUGACACAGCGGGUUGGUGGCAGGGGUCACAUCUAGGCCCAGGCCUCCUGACUUCCGGUGGCCGGGAAGUUCAGAAUAAACGCAGGCAUGAAUGAACAGGUGUAUGAAAAUCCUGAUGCCUAUGCCCCUGCCACAGUGACGGGAAAUUAAGAAUCCAUUAGACAGCUCUUCAUGAGGAAUCGAGAGGACCAGGACACU
rnacentral:lncRNA from 1 species